rnacentral:miRNA from 1 species
ACCCAUGAUGACGUAUGACGG